rnacentral:rRNA from 1 species
UACGAAGGGUGCUAGCGUUGUUCGGAAUCACUGGGCGUAAAGCGCGCGUAGGCGGCUUGGCAAGUCAGGGGUGAAAUCCCACAGCUUAACUGUGGAACUGCCCUUGAAACUGUCAAGCUGGAGUGUCGGAGGGGAUGGCGGAAUUGCUAAUGUAGAGGUGGAAUUCGUAGAUAUUAGCAGGAACACCGGUGGCGAAGGCGGCCGUCUGGACGACAACUGACGCUGAGGCGCGAAAGCGUGGGGAUCAAAC